rnacentral:rRNA from 1 species
GUACGGCGAGUGAAAAGAGAUUAGCCCAACAUCGAAGCUUGUGCAUCUAAUGCAUUGAGCAAUGUGAUGUUAAGACUUAUGUUAGUGCGGUUUGUCCUAUUUGAAAUGCAUAUUAGAAUGUGGCUUUUAUUUAUUUAUCCACAGAUGGUGAAAGACCAGUUCAAAUAGGUGACCAGGAAUGCAAAUUCCGUGCGCAAGCAUUUGUCAUGGAGUCGGAUUGCUUGAGAUUGCAGUCCUAAUUUGGUGGUAAACUCCAUCUAAGGCUAAAUACCUGUGCGAGUCCGAUAGUUAACAAGUACCGUGAGGGAAAGUUGAAAAGUACUCUGAAGAGAGAGUAAAUAGCACGUGA